rnacentral:rRNA from 1 species
UGAGGAAUAUUGGUCAAUGGGCGCAAGCCUGAACCAGCCAAGUAGCGUGCAGGAAGACGGCCCUAUGGGUUGUAAACUGCUUUUAUACGAGAAUAAUUUGAUGCACGUGUGCGUUAUUGCAUGUAUCGUAUGAAUAAGGACCGGCUAAUUCCGUGCCAGCAGCCGCGGUAAUACGGAAGGUCCAGGCGUUAUCCGGAUUUAUUGGGUUUAAAGGGAGUGUAGGCGGUUUGUUAAGCGUGUUGUGAAAUUUAGGUGCUCAACAUUUAACUUGCAGCGCAAACUGCCAGACUUGAGUACACGCAACGUAUGCGGAAUUCAUGGUGUAGCGGUGAAAUGCUUAGAUAUCAUGAAGAACUCCGAUUGCGAAGGCAGCAUACGGGAGUGUAACUGACGCUUAAGCUCGAAGGUGCGGGUAUCGAACAGGACUAGAUACCCUGGUAGUCCGCACAGUAAACGAUGGAUGCCCGCUGUUAGCGCCUGGCGUUAGCGGCUAAGCGAAAGCAUUAAGCAUCCCACCUGGGGAGUACGCCGGCCGGU